GACGAACGCUGGCGGCGUGCCUAAUACAUGCAAGUAGAACGCUGAAGUAGGAGCUUGCUUCUCUGGAUGAUUUGCGAACGGGUGAGUAACGCGUAUGUAACCUGCCUGGUAGCGGGGGAUAACUAUUGGAAACGAUAGCUAAUACCGCAUAAUAGUAGAUGUUGCAUGACAUUUGCUUAAAAGGUGCAAUUUCAUCACUACCAGAUGGACCUGCGUUGUAUUAGCUAGUUGGUGGGGUAACGGCUCACCAAGGCGACGAUACAUAGCCGACCUGAGAGGGUGAUCGGCCACACUGGGACUGAGACACGGCCCAGACUCCUACGGGAGGCAGCAGUAGGGAAUCUUCGGCAAUGGACGGAAGUCUGACCGAGCAACGCCGCGUGAGUGAAGAAGGUUUUCGGAUCGUAAAGCUCUGUUGUAAGAGAAGAACGAGUGUGAGAGUGGAAAGUUCACACUGUGACGGAAUCUUACAAGAAAGGGACGGCGAAUUACGU
rnacentral:rRNA from 1 species